CACGUAGGAGGCGAGCGUUGUCCGGAAUCAUUGGGCGUAAAGAGCGCGCAGGCGGCUUGGCAAGUCGGGUGUGAAAUCCCGGGGCUCAACCCCGUGACUGCAUCCGAUACUGUCAGGCUAGAGGUAGGUAGGGGAGAUCGGAAUUCCUGGUGUAGCGGUGAAAUGCGCAGAUAUCAGGAGGAACACCAAUAGCGAAGGCAGCUCGCUGGGACGGUACUGACGCUAAGGUGCGAAAGCGUGGGGAGCGAACGAGG
rnacentral:rRNA from 1 species